rnacentral:hammerhead_ribozyme from 1 species
CUCCAACUGACGACUCCCAAAUAGGACGAAAUGCGCAUCGUGGAU